rnacentral:rRNA from 1 species
AUUGAACGCUGGCGGCAGGCCUAACACAUGCAAGUCGAGCGGAUGAAGGGAGCUUGCUCCUGGAUUCAGCGGCGGACGGGUGAGUAAUGCCUAGGAAUCUGCCUGGUAGUGGGGGAUAACGUCCGGAAACGGGCGCUAAUACCGCAUACGUCCUGAGGGAGAAAGUGGGGGAUCUUCGGACCUCACGCUAUCAGAUGAGCCUAGGUCGGAUUAGCUAGUUGGUGGGGUAAAGGCCUACCAAGGCGACGAUCCGUAACUGGUCUGAGAGGAUGAUCAGUCACACUGGAAAGGAGACACGGUCCAGACCACUCCGGGAGCAGGCAGGGGGGAAUAGUGGACAAGGGGCGAAAGCCUUAUCCAGCCAUGCCGGGUGUGUGAAGAAGGUCUUUGGAUUGGAAAGCACUUUAAGUUGGGAGAAAGGGCAGUAAGUUAAUACCUUGCUGUUUUGACGUGACCAAAAAAAUAAGCACCGGCUAACUUCG